GCUUGCGGGGCCUGAUUAGUGGCGAACGGGUGAGUAAUACGUGAGUAACCUGCCCUUGACUCUGGGAUAAGCCUGGGAAACUGGGUCUAAUACUGGAUACUACUGUCCACCGCAUGGUGGGGGGUGGAAAGGGUUUUACUGGUUUUGGAUGGGCUCACGGCCUAUCAGCUUGUUGGUGGGGUAAUGGCUCACCAAGGCGACGACGGGUAGCCGGCCUGAGAGGGUGACCGGCCACACUGGGACUGAGACACGGCCCAGACUCCUACGGGAGGCAGCAGUGGGGAAUAUUGCACAAUGGGCGGAAGCCUGAUGCAGCGACGCCGCGUGAGGGAUGACGGCCUUCGGGUUGUAAACCUCUUUCAGUAGGGAAGAAGCGAGAGUGACGGUACCUGCAGAAGAAGCGCCGGCUAACUACGUGCCAGCAGCCGCGGUAAUACGUAGGGCGCAAGCGUUGUCCGGAAUUAUUGGGCGUAAAGAGCUCGUAGGCGGUCUGUCGCGUCUGCUGUGAAAGCCCGGGGCUCAACCCCGGGUCUGCAGUGGGUACGGGCAGACUAGAGUGCAGUAGGGGAGACUGGAAUUCCUGGUGUAGCGGUGAAAUGCGCAGAUAUCAGGAGGAACACCGAUGGC
rnacentral:rRNA from 1 species